CAGUAGCCACGGGAAUACGGAGGGUGCAAGCGUUAUCCGGAUUUAUUGGGUUUAAAGGGUCCGUAGGCGGAUCUGUAAGUCAGUGGUGAAAUCUCACAGCUUAACUGUGAAACUGCCAUUGAUACUGCAGGUCUUGAGUAAAUUUGAAGUGGCUGGAAUAAGUAGUGUAGCGGUGAAAUUCAUAGAUAUUACUUAGAACACCAAUUGCGAAGGCAGGUCACUAAGAUUUAACUGACGCUGAUGGACGAAAGCGUGGGGAGCGAACAGGAUUAGAUACCCCCGUAGUCCCUGUCUCUUAUAC
rnacentral:rRNA from 1 species